rnacentral:rRNA from 1 species
UACGAAGGGGGCUAGCGUUGUUCGGAUUUACUGGGCGUAAAGCGCACGUAGGCGGACUAUUAAAGUCAGGGGUGAAAUCCCGGGGCUCAACCCCGGAACUGCCUUUGAUACUGGUAGUCUUGAGUUCGAGAGAGGUGAGUGGAAUUCCGAGUGUAGAGGUGAAAAUUCGUAGAUAUUCGGAGGAAACACCAGUGGCGAAGGCGGGCUCACUGGCUCGAUACUGACGCUGGAGGUGACGAAAGCGUGGGGAGCAAACAGG